AGCACUGCUAGUGUAUACCACGAGUACUGCGGUUAAAAAGCUCGUAGUUGGAUCUGCGGCUAUGGAUUGUAGUCCUCCCAAUGGGAGCGCACUAUCUAUCCGAGCCUAAUAUGCUGGUUUUCUGGCGAUGAUCUUCAUUGUUUUGUCGUCAGAGGCUAGCGAUUUUACCUUGAAAAAAUUGGAGUGCUCAGAACAGGCCUUUGCCUGAACAGUUGUGCAUGGAAUAAUGGAAUAGGAUUUCGAUUCUAUUUUGUUGGUUUUAGGAGUUGAAAUAAUGAUUAAGAGGGACAGACGGGGGCAUUCGUAUUGCUACGUUAGAGGUGAAAUUCUUGGAUCGUAGCAAGACGGACAACUGCGAAGGCAUUUGCCAAGAAUGUUUUCAUUAAUCAAGAACGAAAGU
rnacentral:rRNA from 1 species